rnacentral:rRNA from 1 species
AAUCGCCGUAAGGAAUCUCGCCGUGGUAGGUGGGACUACGUUACGAAAGGACGCUAAUACCGCAUACGUCCUACGGGAGAAAGCAGGGGACCUUCGGGCCUUGCGCUAUCAGAUGAGCCUAGGUCGGAUUAGCUAGUUGGUGAGGUAAUGGCUCACCAAGGCGACGAUCCGUAACUGGUCUGAGAGGAUGAUCAGUCACACUGGAACUGAGACACGGUCCAGACUCCUACGGGAGGCAGCAGCC